GUGUUACUGCUCUCCCCCACUGGGUUCAAUGCUGCUUAGCUGUUAUUGAAUAUUCGAAUUAACUUCAGCACCACGCGCUGGUCUUUCGGCUCAGAGUUGUGCAUGGUAUCAGUACGAGCUCACAACCUUUAACCGCUCUCCCCACCUCUCCCUCCUCCCCGCGUGCAGCGUGGCAGAUGACCUAUAAAGCCCAAAAAUAUUGAUCUGUUUGUGCAUACUUCCAGUCUGAUGUGCAAAAUCCGGCCAUCUAAGCUGAAAGUUGCCUUUUCAGAAGGGGAGGGGGGAUCUGGAGAUGGAACCUAAAAGCAAGGCCUCUCUCUGGCUGGAUUGCACUUGGCAGGCGUGGACGACAAAGCAGCUCAGGGUGAGCUCGCAGGGAGGAGAGGAGAGCCGAGGCGUGCAGACUGGCAAGUCCCUCCGCAAAGCUCAAGCGGCCAAGAACACAGCCCCACAGCCACCGGGGCCCCAGAGGGUGGGCGGAUAGGACUUUUGGCAGACACUGGUGCCAGAGGCUCUACUUUGGGUUGGGUAGGGUGGGGCGUGGGGAGGGCCUGGAGAAACCCGCAGUGGAGGCAGAUGUACUGACGGAGAAACCAGAAAAGACAGCAUAGUCGUGAAAAGACAGCAUAGUCGUACAUGCUGGAUUUUAUUUCAUUGAUUCCUCGGGCAACUAGAGGAAAAUAGAGAUGCUGGCCUUUCAGGGUGGCUUGCCCAGCCGGUGUGUGAGAGAAUUUCUCCUACUUGGAACUGAUCCGCAAGAGAAGCAAAGCCUACAGCCUUACUUACCGAGGGCUCAACUUCUUGAACUAUUGGCUCGUAACAGUACAGAGCUGCUUGGCAGAAUCCGGUUACACCGAAUCAUUUCACGCUAGACCGACUACGAAAACGUACCGGGCCGUCCACCUCAGAGGGAGCCCCGAGAGCCAUUAUAAGCAGUGGGUGAUCGAUCGCAGCUACCGGCUUCCAGUGCUGCCUAGAAGCUGAAGAGGAGGUGGAGUGCCGGGGGAAAACGCCACGGGGUAGCCGGUGCGUGAGCGCGACAUUCGGAGAGCGCACGUGUUACCUGCUUUAUU